rnacentral:rRNA from 1 species
GGUUCGAUCAUGGCUCAGAUUGAACGCUGGCGGGAUGCUUUACACAUACAGAACGGCGGCACGGACUUCGGUCUGGUGGCGAGUGGCGAACGGGUGAGUAAUGUAUCGGAACGUGCCUAGUAGCGGGGGAUAACUACGCGAAAGCGUAGCUAAUACCGCAUACGCCCUUCGGGGGAAAGCGGGGGGACCUUCGGGCCUCGCACUAUUAGAGCGGCCGAUAUCCGGAUUAACUAGUUGGUGGGGUAACGGCUCACCAAGGCGACGAUCCGUAGCUGGUUUGAGAGGACGACCAACCACACUGGGACUGAGACACGGCCCAGACUCUACAGGGAGGCAGCAGUGGGGAGUUUUGGACAAUGGGGAAACCCUGAUCCAGCCAUCCCGCGUGUGCGAUGAAGGCCUUCGGGUUGUAAAGCACUUUUGGCAGGAAAGAAACGGCACGGGAUAAUACCCCGUGCAACUGACGGUACCUGCAGAAUAAGCACCGGCUAACUACGUGCCAGCAGCCGCGGUAAUACGUAGGGUGCAAGCGUUAAUCGGAAUUACUGGGCGUAAAGCGUGCGCAGGCGGUUCGGAAAGAAAGAUGUGAAAUCCCAGAGCUUAACUUUGGAACUGCAUUUUUAACUACCGAGCUAGAGUGUGUCAGAGGGAGGUGGAAUUCCGCGUGUAGCAGUGAAAUGCGUAGAUAUGCGGAGGAACUUACCGAUGGCGAAGGCAACCUCCUGGGAUAACACUGACGCUCAUGCACGAAAAGCGUGGGGAGCAAACAGGAUUAGAUACCCUGGUAGUCCACGCCCUAAACGAUGUCAACUAGCUGUUGGGGCCUUCCGGGCUGGUAGCGCAGCUAACGCGUGAAGUUGACCGCCUGGGGGAAGUACUGUCGCAAGAUUAAAACUCAAAGGAAUUGACGGGGACCCGCACAAGCGGUGGAUGAUGUGGAUUAAUUCGAUGCAACGCGAAAAACCUUACCUACCCUUGACAUGUCUGGAAUCCCGAAGAGAUUUGGGAGUGCUCGCAAGAGAACCGGAACACAGGUGCUGCAUGGCUGUCGUCAGCUCGUGUCGUGAGAUGUUGGGUUAAGUCCCGCAACGAGCGCAACCCUUGUCAUUAGUUGCUACGAGGCACUCGUAAGUUUGCCGGUGACAAACCGGAGGAAGGUGGGGAUGACGUCAAGUCCUCAUGGCCCUUAUGGGUAGGGCUUCACACGUCAUACAAUGGUCAGGACAGAGGAACCAACCCGCGAGGAAGGCCAAUCCCAGAAACCCGAUCGUAGUCCGGAUCGCAGUCUGCAACUCGACUGCGUGAAAUUAGAUCGCUAGUAAUCGCGGAUCAGCAUGUCGCGGUAGAAUACGUUCGGGUCUUGUACACCGCCCGUCACACCAUGGGAGUGGGUUUUACCAGAAGUAGUUAGCCUAACCGUAAGGAGGGCGAUUACCACGGUAGGAUUCAUGACUGGGGUGAAGUCGUAACAAGGUAA